rnacentral:rRNA from 1 species
AUUAAUUCGAUGCAACGCGAAGAACCUUACCUGGGUUUGACAUAUGCCGGAAAGCUGCAGAGAUGUAGCCCCCGCAAGGUCGGUAUACAGGUGGUGCAUGGCUGUCGUCAGCUCGUGUCGUGAGAUGUUGGGUUAAGUCCCGCAACGAGCGCAACCCUCGUCCUAUGUUGCCAGCGGGUAAUGCCGGGGACUCAUAGGAGACUGCCGGGGUCAACUCGGAGGAAGGUGGGGAUGACGUCAAGUCAUCAUGCCCCUUAAGUCCAGGGCUUCACGCAUGCUACAAUGGCUGGUACAAAGGGCUGCGAUACCGUGAGGUGGAGCGAAUCCCAAAAAGCCAGUCUCAGUUCGGAUUGGGGUCUGCAACUCGACCCCAUGAAGUCGGAGUCGCUAGUAAUCGCAGAUCAGCAACGCUG